GGUCCCGUGGCCAAGUGGUAAGGUGUCAGUCUCCGAUUAUUUGGAUAGCUGAAGAUCGCGAGUUCGACCCUCGCCUGGAUCG